rnacentral:rRNA from 1 species
UGAAUACGAGACGCUAAGGCGUCGAAGUAGUGUAUGUCAUACUUCCAAGAAAAGCUUGCACUGUCAUAAGUAAAAAAUGCCUGUACCAUAACCGACACAGGUGGGUAGGUAGAGUAUACUAAGGGGCGCGAGAUAACUCUCUCUAAGGAACUCGGCAAAAUAACUCCGUAACUUCGGGAGAAGGAGUACCUUAUUCUAUAAGGUUGCAAUAACAAGAUCCAAGCAACUGUUUAUCAAAAACACAGGUCUCCGCUAAGUCGUAAGACGAUGUAUGGGGGCUGACGCCUGCCCAGUGCCAGAAGGUUAAAGAAGUCGGUUAGCAUUAGCGAAGCUGGUAACUGAAGCCCUGGUGAACGGCGGCCGUAACAAUAACGGUCCUAAGGUAGCGAAAUUCCUUGUCGGGUAAGUUCCGACCCGCACGAAAGGCGUAAUGAUUUGGAUACUGUCUCGGAGAGGGGCUCGGUGAAAUAGACUUGUCUGUGAAGAUGCGGACUACCUGCACCAGGACAGAAAGACCCUAUGAAGCUUUACUGUAACUUGAAAUUGAAAUUGGACUUUAUUCGCGCAGUAUAGGUGGGAGGUGUUGAUUAUAAUCUUGCGGGAUUAUUGGAGCCAUCAGUGAGAUACCACUCUUGUAAUGUUAGAUUUCUAACUUUGAAUCAUUAUCUGGUCAAAGGACAGUUUCAGGCGGGCAGUUUGACUGGGGCGGUCGCCUCCCAAACGGUAACGGAGGCGUACAAAGGUUUCCUCUGAACGGGUAGAAAUCGUAUCUAGAGUGUAAAGGCAUAAGCAAGCUUGACUGUGAGACCUACAAGUCGAACAGGGACGAAAGUCGGUCUUAGUGAUCUGACGGUACUGAGUGGAAAGGCCGUCACUCAACGGAUAAAAGUUACUCUAGGAUAACAGGCUGAUCUCCCCCAAGAGUUCACAUCGACGGGGAGGUUUGGCACCUCGAUGUCGGCUCAUCGCAUCCUGGGGCGGUAGUACGUCCCAAGGGUUGGGCUGUUCGCCCAUGAAAGCGGUACGCGAGCUGGGUUCAGAACGUCGUGAGACAGUUCGGUCCAUAUCCGGUGUAGGCGUUAGAAUAUUGAGAGGAGCCUUCUUUAGUACGAGAGGACCGAGAAGGACAUACCUCUGGUGUACCAGUUAUCGUGCCAACGGUAAACGCUGGGUAGCUAUGUAUGGAGUGGAUAACCGCUGAAAGCAUCUAAGUGGGAAGCCCACCUCAAGAUAAGUA